GUGACAGAGUAUUUAAUUUUGAAUUUUGAAAAAAACAAGUUGUUUCACUUAAAAUCUCAGAUUGCCCUGCCCCUCGUCACCCCCCUGCAAUUUCCCUACAUGUAUCUGCUAAAGGGGUUAUACUCGUGCCUUUCUGCUACUCAGCAUUUGUUUAGAUUAAAAUUAGAAUUACUAAAAUACCAUGGAGACUCUUAUUCCAGUAAAAAUAUUUUUAACUGGACAAAAAGUGUAUUCCAGUCACAGUUGCAGCAAUAUCUUUAAGAUCCUGGCCUUGCUAUAGGUGUUCAUUGAGUUUAGCCACGCUUCAAGUAUUUUGUUCCACAGAAUCAUCACCUACAGUAUUUCUGAUUUUGGUAUUGUUUUAAGCAUGUGGUACCUUACUGCCUACUUCUGAUCAGGAUCGUCUUGGAAACUCAGCAGAAAAGCUCAGCGUUUGUCAGGGAGGAGUAAGAAAGUAUACAGGAUCAUCUCGGCUCCAGCAGGGGUCACCUGCUCUUUGUUCUGGGCAUCGUUCUCACAAAAGCUCCUUUGCACUGGGUUUUCCUCAUGCUUCUCCAUGCAGGAAAGUGUCCGUGGAGCAGCACAUCCUGGGCCAGAGAGGUGUAACCAUUUCCUCAUGACAGAAGGAAUCACGGGGGAAGUGAAACAAUGCAUGGCCUAAUCAAUAUUGAGGAUCUGUGUGGUCUUUGAGUGCCAGGCUCUAAGGUGUGCAUUCAGAAAGACAGCCUGUCCUUUACAUAUUGUUCUGCAGCAUAGAGCAGUAAUGGUAUGGGUAACAUAAGACCUGCAAUUAUGAGAGCAAAGAGAAUGAGAGAAUAAAUUAAUGAGAGCAGAGAUUAAAUUAACACAACCAGUGUCACCGAAUGACACACCUGAAAAUUCACAGCUGCCAGAAAACUUCCUGCUACUGGAGGGAGACAGUCAUUUAGCCAGGCAGUUCCUCAGUUU